GAUGAACGCUGGCGGCGUGCCUAAUACAUGCAAGUCGAGCGAACAGACGAGGAGCUUGCUCCUCUGACGUUAGCGGCGGACGGGUGAGUAACACGUGGAUAACCUACCUAUAAGACUGGGAUAACUUCGGGAAACCGGAGCUAAUACCGGAUAAUAUAUUGAACCGCAUGGUUCAAUAGUGAAAGACGGUUUUGCUGUCACUUAUAGAUGGAUCCGCGCCGCAUUAGCUAGUUGGUAAGGUAACGGCUUACCAAGGCAACGAUGCGUAGCCGACCUGAGAGGGUGAUCGGCCCCCCGGGACCUAGGAACCGUUCCCACACCCGCGGGGAGGCAGGGGUAGGAAAUCUUCCGGAGGGGGCAAAGGCCUAACGGGGCAACGCGGCGUAAGGUAGAAAGUUCUUCGGAUCGUAAACUUUUUUUUUUGGGGAAGAACAAAUGUUUAAGUACCUUGGCCCUUUUUAACGGUACCUAAUAAAAAGGCCCCGCCAACCUCCGU
rnacentral:rRNA from 1 species